rnacentral:tRNA from 1 species
GGCACUAUGGCGGAGUGGUUAACGCGCUGCCCUGCUAAGGCAGUUCCUUCGGGAGCAAGAGUUCGAAUCUCUUUGGUGUCG